rnacentral:lncRNA from 1 species
GAUGACUCAGUCUCCACUCUCCCUGCCCGUCACCCCUGGAGAGCCGGCCUCCAUCUCCUGCAGGUCUAGUCAGAGCCUCCUGCAUAGUAAUGGAUACAACUAUUUGGAUUGGUACCUGCAGAAGCCAGGGCAGUCUCCACAGCUCCUGAUCUAUUUGGGUUCUAAUCGGGCCUCCGGGGUCCCUGACAGGUUCAGUGGCAGUGGAUCAGGCACAGAUUUUACACUGAAAAUCAGCAGAGUGGAGGCUGAGGAUGUUGGGGUUUAUUACUGCAUGCAAGCUCUACAAACUCCUCCCAUUUUGGCCAGGGGACCAAGCUGGAGAUCAAAGAACUGUGGCUGCACCAUCUGUCUUCAUCUUCCC